rnacentral:rRNA from 1 species
AUUGAACGCUGGCGGCAUGCUUUACACAUGCAAGUCGAGCGGCAGCGCGGGGGCAACCCUGGCGGCGAGCGGCGAACGGGUGAGUAAUACAUCGGAACGUGUCCCGUAGUGGGGGAUAGCUCGGCGAAAGCCGGAUUAAUACCGCAUAUGCUCUACGGAGGAAAGCGGGGGAACCGCAAGGACCUCGCGCUAUGGGAGCGGCCGAUGUCCGAUUAGCUUGUUGGUGGGGUAACGGCUACCAAGGCGACGAUCGGUAGCUGGUCUGAGAGGAUGAUCAGCCACACUGGGACUGAGACACGGCCCAGACUCCUACGGGAGGCAGCAGUGGGGAAUCUUGCGCAAUGGGCGAAAGCCUGACGCAGCGACGCCGCGUGAGGGAUGACGG